UGGGGAAUAUUGCACAAUGGGCGCAAGCCUGAUGCAGCCAUGCCGCGUGUGUGAAGAAGGCCUUCGGGUUGUAAAGCACUUUCAGCGAGGAGGAAGGUGGUGAACUUAAUACGUUCAUCAAUUGACGUUACUCGCAGAAGAAGCACCGGCUAACUCCGUGCCAGCAGCCGCGGUAAUACGGGAGGGUGCAAGCGUUAAUCGGAAUUACUGGGCGUAAAGCGCACGCAGGCGGUUUGUUAAGUCAGAUGUGAAAAUCCCCGGGCUCAACCUGGGAACUGCAUUUGAAACUGGCAAGCUAGAGUCUCGUAGAGGGGGGUAGAAUUCCAGGUGUAGCGGUGAAAUGCGUAGAGAUCUGGAGGAAUACCGGUGGCGAAGGCGGCCCCCCUGGACGAAGACUGACGCUCAGGUGCG
rnacentral:rRNA from 1 species